rnacentral:rRNA from 1 species
CCUACGGGUGGCAGCAGUGAGGAAUAUUGGUCAAUGGACGAGAGUCUGAACCAGCCAAGUAGCGUGAAGGAUGACUGCCCUAUGGGUUGUAAACUUCUUUUAUAUGGGAAUAAAAUGUUCCACGUGUGGGAUUUUGUAUGUACCAUAUGAAUAAGGAUCGGCUAACUCCGUGCCAGCAGCCGCGGUAAUACGGAGGAUCCGAGCGUUAUCCGGAUUUAUUGGGUUUAAAGGGAGCGUAGGUGGAUUGUUAAGUCAGUUGUGAAAGUUUGCGGCUCAACCGUAAAAUUGCAGUUGAAACUGGCAGUCUUGAGUACAGUAGAGGUGGGCGGAAUUCGUGGUGUAGCGGUGAAAUGCUUAGAUAUCACGAAGAACUCCGAUUGCGAAGGCAGUUCACUGGACUGCAACUGACACUGAGGCUCGAAAGUGUGGGUAUCAAACAGGAUUAGAUACCCCUGUGUC